CGCGUAGGUGGUUAGGUAAGCGAGAUGUGAAAGCCCCGGGCUUAACCUGGGAACGGCAUUUCGAACUGUCUGACUAGAGUAUGGUAGAGGGUAGUGGAGUUUCCUGUGUAGCGGUGAAAUGCGUAGAUAUAGGAAGGAACACCAGUGGCGAAGGCGGCUACCUGGACCAAUACUGACACUGAGGUGCGAAAGCGUGGGGAGCAAACA
rnacentral:rRNA from 1 species